GGUUUUGGGUCUUCAACGGCAGGAACAGAAGCUGAAACUCCAGCUCCAUUGUCUGGUAAAGACUUAGGAGUGGAAAGCGAAAGAAAGGGUUUCUUAAGAGGGAGAAAAAGAGUGGGUUUGUGGGUGAAAUUGGGGUUGACAGAGAAGGAGGUAGGACAAGGAGGAGAAAACAAGGCCAUGGAUAUUGACAUAGAUUCGUGUAUUCAGUUUUGUUUUGGUUUUUUGAGGAUGAUGAUGGAGUGAUGAACUUUUUCUUUUUCAGGUACAGACCAUGGUUGAGUUCAGUUUGUGGGGGAGAAGGGUGUGGUGUUUGAGGCUGUCAGCCAUCCACCAAUUUGACUUAAAAAAUUGGAAGUUAUUGCAGUUCGAUACUUUGGGCUCACUUU
rnacentral:lncRNA from 1 species